rnacentral:rRNA from 1 species
CCUACGGGGUGCAGCAGUCGAGAAUCAUUCACAAUGGGGGAAACCCUGAUGGUGCGACGCCGCGUGGGGGAAUGAAGGUCUUCGGAUUGUAAACCCCUGUCAUGUGGGAGCAAAUUAAAAAGAUAGUACCACAAGAGGAAGAGACGGCUAACUCUGUGCCAGCAGCCGCGGUAAUACAGAGGUCUCAAGCGUUGUUCGGAAUCACUGGGCGGAAAGCGUGCGUAGGCUGUUUCGUAAGUCGUGUGUGAAAGGCGCGGGCUCAACCCGCGGACGGCACAUGAUACUGCGAGACUAGAGUAAUGGAGGGGGAACCGGAAUUCUCGGUGUAGCAGUGAAAUGCGUAGAUAUCGAGAGGAACACUCGUGGCGAAGGCGGGUUCCUGGACAUUAACUGACGCUGAGGCACGAAGGCCAGGGGAGCGAAAGGGAUUAGAUACCCUUGUAGUC